UGACGUGCAUGUGCUUGUAAUACGACCUAAUUAGAAUCCAUGAUCAUCACCUGUUUAAAGUUUAGCUUUAUUUGAUGCUGCGAUUAUAACUGCCUGUGAUGUGCCGUUUGCAUGUGAUGCGAAUGAGAGCGGGGUAGAUAGGUUUACAUGUGAUGUAGCAAAUCCAAUUGAGACCUAAAUUAAAAUCUCCUCAAUCAAGUCGAGAGUGAACCAACAUGAGCGAGUCAUAUUAGAUUAAUUGAUCUAAUUGGUGUCUAGGAAAGCAUGAAAGGUGGUUACUUAAUUAGGACCUU
rnacentral:lncRNA from 1 species